rnacentral:rRNA from 1 species
GACGAACGCUGGCGGCGUGCCUAAUACAUGCAAGUCGAGCGGACGAAUCGAAAGCUUGCUUUUGAUUCGUUAGCGGCGGACGGGUGAGUAACACGUGGGCAACCUGCCCUGUAGACGGGGAUAACACCGAGAAAUCGGUGCUAAUACCGGAUAACACGAAAUGUCGCAUGACGUUUCGUUGAAAGACGGCGCAAGCUGUCGCUACAGGAUGGGCCCGCGGCGCAUUAGCUAGUUGGUGAGGUAACGGCUCACCAAGGCGACGAUGCGUAGCCGACCUGAGAGGGUGAUCGGCCACACCGGGACUGAGACACGGCCCAGACUCCUACGGGAGGCAGCAGUAGGGAAUCUUCCGCAAUGGACGAAAGUCUGACGGAGCAGCGCCGCGUGAGCGAAGAAGGCCUUCGGGUCGUAAAGCUCUGUUGUUAGGGAAGAACAAGUAACGCAGUAACUGGCGUUACCGUGACGGUACCUAACGAGAAAGCCACGGCUAACUACGUG